rnacentral:lncRNA from 1 species
CACUACAUAUAAUGUUCUUAAUCCAUGAAUUAUUUUUUAGAAAAUUUUUGGUUGCUCAAAGAUGAGCAAACCAUAACAUUCAACCCAAUCCAAGGAUUGAGCAAUGAUAGUUGAUCAAAUUAUUUCUUAAAUGACUUUUUAAAUAGGCUAGUCAUCUAUAUGAGGGAAAAGGCUGAUUAUGGAAUACAUUUAUUCACAUCAAAUAAAUAAUAUAUUAAUAAUUUAAUCAUUUUUUUUAGAUAUCAAUGGUGAUGGAGAGUAACUAUUCAGAUGAAUUAAUUAUCAUCACUCG